rnacentral:rRNA from 1 species
ACUUGAAUAUUAGUAGUUAUGGGCUUUAAAUUCAAAGAAUUUGGCGGUAUUUUAGUCUUGUUAGAGGAACCUGUUCUGUAAAUGAUACAACACGAAAAAUCUUACUUACUUUUGUUUAACAGUUUGUAUACCGUCAUUAUUAGAUAACCUUUGUUGAGAAAGUUAUUGAAAUUUAAGAAGUUAGAAUAUAUUAGAUCAAGGUGCAGUUUAUAAGUAAGAAGAAAUGGGUUACAAUAAAAUUUAUUUAUACGUAUCAGUAAUUGAAUAGUUUCUGUGAAGGAGGAUUUAAUUGUAACAUACGAUUUAAUAAGUCAGUGUGAUAUGAGAACUAAAAUAUGUACAUAU